rnacentral:lncRNA from 1 species
GAUUGGUUUGUUUAGUUAUGUUUCGUCAAUUUUAUUAUUUUAUUAUUUUGAUUUUUGUAAUUAGUUUUUUGUUUAUUCGGUUAACUUUUCGGAUUAUUAUAUGAAUCUUUUUCUACGACUUUUAUGAGGGAAUUAUUAAAGGGAAACCUUUGAUAGAAGUUGCUAUCUGUUUAGUUUUAUUGAAGUUGCAAGUGCCGUUUGUGCUUUUAUAAGGAUAAUUUGAUUCAGAGGUUAAGCCGCCAAUAGUUAUUGUGUAGUUAAACGCUGUAUCCAUCAAACCGCCCAUGCAGCCACCAUCGUUUGUGUCGCAGUCGACAAGCUCUUGUUCAG